rnacentral:rRNA from 1 species
UACAGAGGGUGCGAGCGUUGUCCGGAAUCACUGGGCGUAAAGGGCGCGUAGGUGGUGGCUUAAGCGUGCGGUGAAAGCUCGGAGCUCAACUCCGAGUCGGCCGUGCGAACUGGGCUCACUGGAGCAUAGUAGAGGCAGGUGGAAUUCCGGGUGUAGCGGUGGAAUGUGUAGAGAUCCGGAAGAACAUCGGUGGCGAAGGCGGUCUGCUGGGCCGUUGCUGGACGCUGAGGC